UACGAAGGGGGGCUAGCGUUGCUCGGAAUCACUGGGCGUAAAGCGCACGUAGGCGGCUUUCUAAGUCAGGGGUGAAAUCCUGGAGCUCAACUCCAGAACUGCCUUUGAUACUGAAAGUCUUGAGUAUGGGAGAGGUGAGUGGAACUGCGAGUGUAGAGGUGAAAUUCUAGAUAUUCGCAAGAACGACCAGUGGCGAAGGCGGCUCACUGGCCCAU
rnacentral:rRNA from 1 species